rnacentral:ncRNA from 2 species
CGGCCUGUACGCGACUGGCGAUAGGCGCAGCACCCUGAAAAAGGUGCCACGCGCUGACGUGGAAUACCACUGGGAAGCGUGCCGCCUGGCCACAACAGGCGUUCAGCCGUUCGCCUGGGCAGCCCUU